UACCUCAAAAAACCACAACAGUCUGUUUCAUCCGUAUAGGAAUCAUCUUUGAUGAUGAUUCCUAUACGGAUGAAACAGAUUGUUGUGGUUUUU
rnacentral:miRNA from 1 species